rnacentral:rRNA from 1 species
UACGUAGGUGGCAAGCGUUGUCCGGAUUUACUGGGCGUAAAGAGCGCGCAGGCGGUCAGAUAAGUCGAAUGUGAAAGCCCCCGGCUCAACUGGGGAGGGUCAUUCGAUACUGUUCGACUCGAAGGCAGGAGAGGGAAGUGGAAUUCCCGGUGUAGUGGUGAAAUGCGUAGAUAUCGGGAGGAACACCAGUGGCGAAGGCGACUCCUGGCCUGUUCUUGACGCUGAGGCGCGAAAGCGUGGGGAGCGAACGAGG